AAUAUUCCAAAGCUACAGCAAAUUAUAAAUGAAAACCUAAACUUCGAGGAUGAACUGAUUCUGGUUUUUAGAGCCGAUGCCGAUUUGUGAUUCUUGUGUAGUUCUGACCUGCCAAAACAGAUUUAUUUCAAAGAACUACUGCUUUAAAUUUCUGAUGUUUUUGAAAAUGAUUUUUCUGGAAGUAAAACAAAGUCUGAUUAGUAAGACUGUUGAUCUGAUGUCCAUUUUCAAUGUUGUGAGUGACCAGAAAAAAUGAAAAAAUAUCCUUGUUGUCUCAAUAGUUGUGAAAGAGACCUUAAAAGAAAAAUACUUUCUUAACAUAAUUUCUUUUUCUAUAAAUCUUGGUAUUUAAAUUAUGGUUCGGUUAAAUAAGGAAUCUAACUGUUUUGUAAUUUUUAUGCAUUUCAGUCAGAUCAGCAUAGUUUAAUUAUCAUCACCUACUGAUUUCAGUCCUUUGGCGCGUGGAGUCCACAGAAAGUUAAAGACAGAGUGACGGAGGUCUUCUACGGCUGGACGCUCUGGCUUAAAGAGGAACCUAAGAUUCAGGAAGCCUACAACAUGCUGAAGAAACAAGGCAUCGUGAAGAAGGAUCCCACACUUCCAGACACAGUUGUUAUGGCUCCUCCGCCUCAAAGAACCACAGAGUCUGUUUUUUGAUCAAGACGACAAGGCCAAGAUGUUGGUUAGACUACUGAGGAGUGGCCAUCCUGAAGACCUGGAAACCGCCAACAGGCUCAUUAAAAGCACCAUCCAGGAGGCGAGGAGCACUGCAGCACUGCUGGUCCUCAUAUUUGAUUUAAUGGUGGUAUGGAUGAAUCUUUGGAUGAAUCUUCGGUUGUGUCUUAGGAGCAGGAAAAGGCUGAGAAAGUGUCAAAGCGAGAGUCAACCCUGAUGGAGGUUGAGAGCAGCACCAACCAGCUGAGAGAGCUUCUGUAUCAGCACAUCGAUACUGAAACCUCGUUACAAACCAGUGAUGACGUGAAGGCAUGUUGCGUUUCAAACUGAUGUUUGUUAAUAAUAUCCGACUGUUAACAACAAAAAUUACUUACCAGUGUCUUACUCCACCCACACUUCUUUUUUGAUAUUUCAUCACUGUUUUGGGUCUGUUACAGAUCUUGGCUGAACAUUUGUUAUUUUAUUGUAAAUUUCAGAUAUGCCAUGUAUUUAAAAUGUUCAAAUAAGUGUAACCGUCAGUACUGUUAUGACAUAUUUCCAUUAACACUAACAAGCUUCCGGU